GGCGAGGUACCACCAGAUGCUACAGGCGAGGUACCACCAGAUGCUACAGGAGUUUGCUCUAAUGUCAGCGCAAUCGAACUCCCUGCCUACUCAGAUGAUGGUGGCAACAGCUUCACCAUGCCAGGCUUCGGGUCACUACACGAUGUGAUCGUGGCUGGCAAAAGGCUGGAAUCACAGGUGUACCGAGGAAUUGUGGACACAUUGUUCGCUGCAAUGGUCAAAAUAUCGGUAGUUCCAACUUCAAAGUUUUACACCAAGGUUUGUGCUCAGUUGAU